AGUGAACGCUGGCGGUAGGCCUAACACAUGCUAGUCGAACGGCAGCACAGGAGAGCUUGCUCUCUGGGUGGCGAGUGGCGGACGGGUGAGGAAUACAUCGGAAUCUACUUUUUCGUGGGGGAUAACGUAGGGAAACUUACGCUAAUACCGCAUACGACCUACGGGUGAAAGCAGGGGAUCUUCGGACCUUGCGCGAUUGAAUGAGCCGAUGUCGGAUUAGCUAGUUGGCGGGGUAAAGGCCCACCAAGGCGACGAUCGGUAGCUGGUCGUGGAGGAUGUUCAGCCACACUGGAACUGAGACACGGUCCAGACUCCUACGGGAGGCAGCAGUGGGGAAUAUUGGACAAUGGGCGAAAGCCUGAUCCAGCCAUACCGCGUGGGUGAAGAAGGCCUUCGGGUUGUAAAGCCCUUUUGUUGGGAAAGAAAUCCAGCUGGUUAAUACCCGGUUUGGAUGACGGUACCCAAAGAAUAAGCACCGGCUAACUUCGUGCCAGCCGCCGCCGUAA
rnacentral:rRNA from 1 species